AUUGAACGCUGGCGGCAGGCCUAACACAUGCAAGUCGAGCGGAUGAAGGGAGCUUGCUCCUGGAUUCAGCGGCGGACGGGUGAGUAAUGCCUAGGAAUCUGCCUGGUAGUGGGGGAUAACGUCCGGAAACGGGCGCUAAUACCGCAUACGUCCUGAGGGAGAAAGUGGGGGAUCUUCGGACCUCACGCUAUCAGAUGAGCCUAGGUCGGAUUAGCUAGUUGGUGGGGUAAAGGCCUACCAAGGCGACGAUCCGUAACUGGUCUGAGAGGAUGAUCAGUCACACUGGAACUGAGACACGGUCCAGACUCCUACGGGAGGCAGCAGUGGCGAAUAUUGGACAAUGGGCGAAAGCCUGAUCCAGCCAUGCCGCGUGUGUGAAGAAGGUCUUCGGAUUGUAAAGCACUUUAAGUUGGGAGGAAGGGCAGUAAGCUAAUACCUUGCUGUUUUGACGUUACCAACAGAAUAAGCACCGGCUAACUUCGUG
rnacentral:rRNA from 1 species